rnacentral:rRNA from 14 species
UUUUUUUUUUUUUUUUUUUUUUUUUACUUUUUCUUCAUUGAACUAUUUUCCCAGGAGGUCCCCCCCCAAGUAUUUUCGUCGAUUUAUAACGUUUCACAACUGAGUUCGAGAUGGAUCAGUGUGGUUCCGCUCAGUACACUAAAAACACCAAAGCAAAAAAUCUUUAAGGUAUUUUAAAACCUUAAAGAUUAAAAAAAU